rnacentral:antisense_RNA from 1 species
GCGCUUCCUGGUCUCUCCAGCCUACAAGUCGGGAGUCGGCGACCGCUUAGUGACGAGCGAUGAUUUUAAAGAGCAGAAUAAAAGGCUUUCCCGUGCCUGCCCCACAGCCCCUCCAGCUCGAAUAAUGGAGAACUGUCAAUGCACUCCGCGAGCGGUGGCCCAUUGUACGCAGCUGAUGGCGAGGAGGCGACUGGGGGUGGCAGGGGCUCCUUGCCCUCGCCCCUAUGCCCAAAUAAACGCUCAAACGCGCUCCCGUCUUCUGGUCAGUUAAAAGGUGAAACGAACACGAUUAAAAUAGACCAAAAGAAAAGAAAAGAAAACCUUUCUAUGUACAGAUUCUAAAUCGUACUCCCCAUACAGUCAGAGGCAGGGAGUCGAGGGCAGAGGCAGCAGGCGGAGAGAGGGAGAUAGGGCGAGGGAAGGAGAACGCGGAGAGAGACGAAGGGAGUGGGAGACCAGCGACAGCGAGCGCCAGGGCACCGCAGGCACACUGGAUGCCCGGUCCGCCGGCCCAGCCGCCCUCGGACCCUGGACCGUGCGUCGUGGGCACCAGAAACGAGACUCGGCCAAAUCCUGCCUCACCAGCAGGUAGAUGAAACUCAAGAGAAAAGGUGUGGAUAAAUGAAACUAGCUCAUGAUGAACCUGUUUUCUCCGUGACCACAAUAUUAACCAGGAUGAUGGCGGUGGCAGUGGGCCUGCAUCACAGGUUGCAGCAGAUAUUCUCAAUAUUUCUAUUAAAAUUUCCUUAUUUCCAUAUGCAAGAGGAGACCCAGAGCUGCAUCCUUAUGGUAGCUACCAUGCUGUGAUGUAAGCUGCCAUUCACUGGGGAGCUUUGGCAAUAGAAUUGGCUAGAUCAGCAAGUGCAUCUCAACUAUGGAACAACAACUUGCAGCUCAUCUCUAUUGAUGGUGAGUCA